UUGGGGUUCGAUUAAGCCAUGCGAGUCGAGAGGUGCAAGACCUCGGCAUACUGCUCAGUAACACGUGGACAAUCUACCCUACGGUGAGGGAUAAUCCCGGGAAACUGGGGCUAAUACCUCAUAGACUAUGAAUGCUGGAAUGCUUCGUAGUUCAAAGGUCAGCCGCCAUAGGAUGGGUCUGCGGCCGAUUAGGUAGUUGUUGGGGUAACGGCCCAACAAGCCUGUAAUCGGUACGGGUUGUGGGAGCAAGAGCCCGGAGAUGGAUUCUGAGACACGAAUCCAGGCCCUACGGGGCGCAGCAGGCGCGAAAACUUUACAAUGCGGGAAACCGUGAUAAGGGAACUUCGAGUGCCCGUUAAAUCGGGCUGUCCACCAGUUUAAAAAACUGGUGAAGAAAGGGCCGGGCAAGACCGGUGCCAGCCGCCGCGGUAAUACCGGCGGCUCGAGUGGUGGCCACUAUUACUGGGCUUAAAGCGUUCGUAGCUGGUUUGUUAAGUCUCUGGGGAAAUCUUCCGGCUUAACCGGAAGGCGUCUCAGGGAUACUGGCAGACUAGGGACCGGAAGAGGUGAGGGGUACUCCAGGGGUAGGAGUGAAAUCCUGUAAUCCUUGGGGGACCACCUGUGGCGAAGGCGCCUCACCAGGACGGCUCCGACAGUGAGGGACGAAAGCUGGGGGAGCAAACCGGAUUAGAUACCCGGGUAGUCCCAGCCGUAAACGAUGUGCGUUAGGUGUAUCGGUGACCACGAGUCACCGAGGUGCCGAAGAGAAAUCGUGAAACGUACCGCCUGGGAAGUACGGUCGCAAGGCUGAAAC
rnacentral:rRNA from 1 species